CUUGUAUUAGUCAACUGCUAAUCAAACACAGGAGUUCCAGCGGAACAGAGCGGUUUAUAGCUUCACUGAAAUAACCUGUGCACAAUUUGGAAAGCUUGUAUGUCAAAACGUUCCUGGAGGUUUUAGACACAAAGAGUCGCAGCAUAAUAUCUCUAUGGAAUAUUAAUCACAGUUAAGCAGAUUAUAACAGACUAGAAAGUCUGGGUUCUAAGAAGUAACAUCUCAAAACAAAAAGAGGCUUUAGAGAAUACUCCAGACAGAGCAAUCGGAUAAUUUAACUCAUUCACCGACCUCAUGCUAGCAAUUAAGGAGUUAAGAGCUGAAGUCGUACAGUCCAUUUUAUAAUCUAAACUAGUUUUCAUUAAUGUCGCGUACACUCAGUGUUUACACAUACUACACCAAAACGAGAAUGUGAAGCAGAGGUAACUGUAAAACAGUAUUUAGAUGUUGACGUUUGGUUAGGAUCCCAUCCCAAGAAAUGUCACAUCAGGGUUGAUCUCUUAAUAAAAGAGUGAUUUUACUCUAAACUGCCUUGGUAUUCUGCUAAAAUGGGC